rnacentral:misc_RNA from 1 species
AAAAAACUAGUUAUUUAACAAAAGAAAAAAUUUAAUAAGCAAUUCAGAAAGAGGUGAUUAUUAUCAAAACAAACAUAAAAAUACUGAUUGUUAAAUGAUGAGCACAACACUGCUUCUGAUUUCAUAAAAGUAGAAGCAAAUUAGUUGGAAACCUUAAAAUUACUGACCAUCCAACAAACAUGGUAUAGAAGACAAAUAAGUGCUUUAAGGUGCUGGUUAAAUAUCAAUUAUUUCAAUCAUUGAGAAAUCUAUAACUUAAUCCCAUGAAGCUCCUUUGUUUUUGCAGAAAUAUUUUGUGCUUGUGUAUGAUUGAACUUGAAAAACUAG